rnacentral:lncRNA from 1 species
AUGCGCCUGUCAGUCCGGGCGCUGCGCCGCACUCGGCCCGAGCUGUUUGUAAAUUACAUUAGCGGCGCCUUUAUUGCACCCGAACCUCGGGCGACUCAAAAGCCGCCGCCCCCACCCCAAACUGCGAGCCUCGCUCCCGGCGCACCCGCCUCCCGCCGGCCUGGCUGCGAUGGUAGCGCCGGCCCGGAGGUCUCAGGCUCUCCGACCCGGGAUUUGGCGCCCGAGAAGGGCGGCGCGAGCCCAGCCGGAGAGGGACGCGGCCGCUGCGCGGGCCAGCAGGGCCACCUGAGUGUCUUUGCAGAAGCAGGUGAGAGGGCUGAUGGCACCAUGACCUCAGACAACUCCACUCCAGGCCCGCUGUGUGAUCUUGGUCCUGGACCGAGGGAGAGAAGGAGCGCCAGGGAGAAGGCACACGGCUAAGGGCAGAGGAAUGGCCAGACGAUCCCCCCCCCCACUCUUUCACCCUCUCCAGGGGAGCCUCUCUGAGGUAGGGUCCUCCUAGCUGCAGAAGUGGGACGGGCUGUGGGGGAGCAGGGGAGGGCAGGCUGGAAGCUGGCGGCUGGGGAUGCCUGGCUGGGCAGGAAAGGGCUGGAAUCCGGCUCCCCCGCGACCCGUCCCGAGCUCCCGCUGCAGGGUCGCCCCGUGGCAGCCCCGACAGGCCGUGCGUCCCUCAGCACAAGUCCCAUUAUAUUGUAUUUAUGUUUCACUUUAUUGUUUUUUUCCCCUCUCUUAUUGUCUCACUCUGGGGGAGGCAAAGGAUAUAAUAUAUUCAUCUUUAUUAUACCAAAUCUGUGUGAAGCAUUUAAUAAAACGCUGUUUCCACACAGCCAGGGAUAUUAGUGUGAGCUUUUCUUAAGUUAAUGCUCUGGUACUAAGGGCGCCUCCGCCACAGCGCCUGCUGCUGGCAGCCCGGGGGAAGCGCAGGCCCGGGCCGGGGGCACCCCGCACCCACCCUGAGCGCCGGUGCCCUUUCCGCUCGAGCGCUCAUCCUAGCGGUGGCUCGGUGACCUCUGGGGCCCCAGCCUGGGAGGAGGGCCUCGGAAGAGCCGAGUCCGAGCCCGCCCCACCCCCCCUCCGCCUCUCUAACCAGUGGGCCUUGGUUUGUGCGGGGGGUGGGGGUGGCGGAAGGUACAAAAACACCGAGAGAGAAAUCACUUUCCUCUCAGGGCUCUUUGUUGGGAGGCUCAAGAGGCCGUGGGGGUGGACAGGACUUUAUAAAUAGGAAGGAAAACAAGGAUUUGUCGAGAUGGGGUCUAUGAGGGCCAUAGAGAAACAGGGGCCUCAACAAAAGUGGUCCUAGGCAACAGAGACCCUCAAGCUGAAUCCAGCCCAGGCUGGGGAGCAGAGUGCAGCUCCAGCUUGAGCAGAGCCCAGAAGGUUUCCGUGUUUCUGGGCUUCACCCGCUGGUAAGGCAACUCAAUGAAGUAGAGAUCUCGGACUGUGGCAGUGGGCUGUCCUGUGGUUGUCCCUGUAGGUAGGCAAGCAGUCUUUGUAGUCCAAUUUACAGCUAGCGCAUUGAGACUCAGAGAGGUCAAGUGGCUUGUUUGAGGUGACCCAGCUGGCAUGGAGCAUCGUGGAUCAUACUGUCUUCAGACUCUGCUUCCUUCCCUUCCUCCUCCAGCCCUCCCACUCCCUACCUUCCCCCUCUCUCCCUUCCCCAUCCUCCAGGGCUUUCCAUGGCCUUACAAGCUUUAUAUUUCUGCUUUCGACGUAUGCACAUACCUACCUGGGGAUGCACAUGAGAAGGAGAAACAGUCACAUGAAUUUCCAUAUCCAGGCUCACUGCCCAAUGUCCUUUAGAGCCCACUGCCUAGGUUCUUUUAGGGCCCAGAUUUGGGAACACCAGCCUUAUUUAGGCCCUUGUACCAGUGCUGUGGGGGAAGGGUUGGGGACAAGGCCAGGCCAGAAGGGGGUGUUGUGCCGGAAAGGACUGGAGUGGGCAGGUAAGUCCCCCUGAUAGGACUAAUAUUCUCCCAUAUUCUCAGUCCUCCUUUGCCCCCAUCACCUCAUCUUUGGGGCUGUGCCAGGUCACCCCACAUACUGUAGGUUGCUGGUGGAAGCUUGUGUGGAGGCUAAGUGUACUUGAGAAGUCUGACCGUUGCCACCUGGGACUGGCUGGGGGAGGAGGGUGCAGACUCACUGUGUGGCUGGGCUGGGACUAGAGGGAGACAAGCGAGGUGUCUGGGGCGCAGGAUUGAAGGGGUGCUGGCUCUCAGUGUUGUGCGCUUCAGUUCUGUGCUUAGGCAGCUCAUUUGCCUCACCCUAGUCCCAGCUCUGCUGUGUGGUCCCAGGGGUGGGGUCACUGCCGCAAAUUGCUGAGCAGAGAUGGGGUGACUUCAGCUUAUCCUUGUGAAUGGCUUUUCUGAAGGGUAGAAGCGGAAACAAUGGAAUAAGCUGCCUUGUGUGGGAGUGAGCUUCCCCCAACAGGUGGAGUAUACAAGUAGUGCUUAGCACCUGCCCAGAAGGCUAAUAGUCACCAUUUUAUUGUCAUCAUCAUCCUCAUGUUUUACUGUCACUCCCUUCGUGCCGCGUAAGCGUAAGAGCUUUACCUCAUUAUCUC